rnacentral:rRNA from 1 species
GACGAACGCUGGCGGCGUGCCUAAUACAUGCAAGUGGGACGCAAGGGAACACACUGUGCUUGCACACCGUGUUUUCUUGAGUCGCGAACGGGUGAGUAACGCGUAGGUAACCUGCCUAUUAGCGGGGGAUAACUAUUGGAAACGAUAGCUAAUACCGCAUAAUAUUAAUUAUUGCAUGAUAAUUGAUUGAAAGAUGCAAGCGCAUCACUAGUAGAUGGACCUGCGUUGUAUUAGCUAGUUGGUAAGGUAAGAGCUUACCAAGGCGACGAUACAUAGCCGACCUGAGAGGGUGAUCGGCCACACUGGGACUGAGACACGGCCCAGACUCCUACGGGAGGCAGCAGUAGGGAAUCUUCGGCAAUGGACGAAAGUCUGACCGAGCAACGCCGCGUGAGUGAAGAAGGUUUUCGGAUCGUAAAGCUCUGUUGUAAGUCAAGAACGUGUGUGAGAGUGGAAAGUUCACGCAGUGCGGUAGCUACCA